rnacentral:rRNA from 1 species
AUGUGGUGGUUGUACCGCAAGGGGCCCUCGGGCUUCGCCGGCGCCUCCACGGCCGAGGAGGUCACCGCCGGCAUCGACGGCCGCGGCUUGGUCGCCGUCAUCACAGGUGCGUCGAGAGGAAUCGGGCGGGAGACGGCGCGCGUGCUGGCGCUGCGGGGCGUGCGCGUCGUCAUGGCCGUCCGCGACGUCUCCGCGGGGGUCAGGGCCAAGGAGGCCAUCCAGGCCGAGAUCCGCGGCGGCGCGGAGCUGGACGUGCUGGAGCUGGACCUUAGCUCCAUGGCUUCCGUCAGGAGAUUCGCCGCAGAGUUCGCCUCCCUCAGCCUGCCCCUCAACAUCCUUAUCAACAACGCUGGAGUCAUGGCGAGGGACUGCACCCGUUCCCCCGACGGCCUAGAGCUGCACUUCGCCACGAACCACAUCGGGCAUUUCCUUCUGACAAACCUGCUGCUGGAGAACAUGAAGAGCGCGUGCCGGGACAGCGGCGUGGAAGGAAGGAUCGUUAACGUGUCAUCUUCCGGGCAUAUCAUGACCUACCCCGAAGGGAUAUGCUUCGACAAAGUGCAUGAUCCUUCAGGGUUCAACAGCCUCAUUGCUUAUGGCCAGUCCAAGCUUGCAAACAUUCUCCACAUGAAUGAGCUGUCCCGGAUUCUCAAGGAUGAAGGGGUCAACAUUUCAGCUAACACGGUCCAUCCGGGCGUCAUCGUGACAAGCCUUUUCAGAAACAGGACCAUUGUGAGCGCUCCCAUGAACACCGUUGGAAGAAUCAUAAGCAGAAGCGUCCAACAGGGUGCUGCAACGACAUGUUAUGUGGCGAUGCACCCUCAAGUCCAGGGGAUAACUGGUAAAUACUUCGGCAAUUGUAAUAUAGCCAACACAAGCUCGCAAGCUGUAGAUGCAGAAUUGGCCAAGAAGUUGUCGAACUUCAGCUUGCAGAUAGUGUCUUCUUGA